rnacentral:rRNA from 1 species
AAGCUCAAAUUUGAAAUCUGGMRGUUUUUUUUUUCUUCUUUGGCUGUCCGAGUUGUAAUCUAGAGAAGUGCUUACCUGCACUGGACCAUGUAUAAGUCUCCUGGAAUGGAGCGUCACAGAGGGUGAGAAUCCCGUCUUUGACAUGGACCGCCAGUGUGUUGUGGUGUGCUCUCAAAGAGUCGAGUUGUUUGGGAAUGCAGCUCUAAAUGGGUGGUAAACUCCAUCUAAAGCUAAAUAUUGGCGAGAGACCGAUAGUGAACAAGUACCGUGAGGGAAAGAUGAAAAGGACUUUGGAAAGAGAGUUAAACAGUAUGUGAAAUUGUUGAAAGGGAAACGCUUGAAGUCAGUUAUGUUGGCUAGGGAUCAACCUAGCUGUUUUUUUGCUGGGUGAAUUUCCUAGUCUGACAGGCCAACAUCAGUCUUGACUGCUGGAAAAGAGCAGAGGGAAUGUGGCACCUUUGGGUGUGUUAUAGCCUUUUGUCAUAUGUGGCAGUUGGGACUGAGGGAUGCAGCAUGCCGCGAGGCUGGGUUUCUGACCACGUUCAUGCUCAGGAUGUUGGC